UACGUAGGGUGCAAGCGUUGUCCGGAAUUAUUGGGCGUAAAGAGCUCGUAGGUGGCCUGUCGCGUCGGCUGUGAAAACCUGGGGCUCAACCCCGGGCCUGCAGCCGAUACGGGCAAGCUAGAAUUCGGUAGGGGAGACUGGAAUUCCUGGUGUAGCGGUGAAAUGCGCAGAUAUCAGGAGGAACACCGGUGGCGAAGGCGGGUCUCUGGGCCGAUAUUGACGCUGAGGAGCGAAAGCGUGGGGAGCAAACAGG
rnacentral:rRNA from 1 species